UUAGCAGGUCUGAUUGAAAUUGCAAUUGUUCCAUCUCCUUUAAACAUGUUUUUAAGCAGAAAUCGAAGAGUUAUGGAUAUAUUAGUUUUGUGCUGGGUGCGUCUGACACCCAGAAGGAAGCGUAUUCGACCGCAUUAAGUAUGUUUGACGCCUAGUUCACAGAGACUUUAGAAGAGUUCGUCUCCUAGCGUACUGGAGUGAGAUAGAAAAACAGCUGACUUGGUGUGAGAAGUGAAAAAGAAAGAGAUAGAGAUAGAUGUGGAUGUAGCGGGAUAAGAAACCGUACUGGAAAAAUGGUAAAAAUAAAAAAUUCAAAAAUAAAUCGUCGCCAAAAUGCACUUGCUUGUAUAUUUCAACCAACCAAUCAAAAUGGAUGCAACCGUCGGCCGCUUCGGCAUUCGAGGCGUGGUUCUAGGCGCAUGGUUCUUUGCUUCCAAGCCGAUGGACCACAAAUGGGCUAUACUUGAUAGAGCUUGGAUGCACUAAAAUUAGGGGCUUAACGGGCUGCGACUUUCCGAAUGCCUGCUUCCCGGCUUUUGGUUUCUUGGCGUUCGGUUUGAAUUCUAAUCGGAAUUCAAUUUCAUUAUUCCUUUUUAUUUAUAUUUAUUACUUCUUAUAACGUUAGGCAACAAAAUCAAACUUUGAUUUACGCUUCAGCCAAAUCAACUUUUCCUAAUAGAUUUGGGGCUGUAAAAAUUUAUAAUGAUCUAUGGUUUUUUCAUUAUUUUUAACUUUAUCAAAAUGUUUUUUCAAAGGAAGAUUCACAUAAUUUAAGUAUCUUUCAUCUGGUUGCUUUAAACUAUGCAAUUCUAAA
rnacentral:sRNA from 1 species